GAGUACCCACUCCAACUGUUCAUAUACUCAAAAGUGAAACGAUACAGAAAAGGUUGGCGUGAUCCCCUGUGCAAGGAUGACACGCAAAAUCGUCAAGCUAUCCACAUGUUG